AACCAUCCUAAUCAGAUGGAAGUGCCAAGAGAAAAUGUUGCUCUUUGGAAGGAAAGAAAGAAACCAUGUUAAGGAGGGGUGUUAUGCAAUGAAUUUUUAGAUAUUAAAAAAAAUAACAUCUAGACCAUUAAGUUUCUUUGGUUUUGUAGAUAAGUUUGUCAGAUAAGAGUUAGAAUACUCCAACAAUCACUGGACAUUUCUAUAGUAACCUGAGGUAGAAUUUCAAACUUCCAGAGAGAAAGGAAGAGUAACAGCAGCCCAUUUAGACUCAGUGUCCAUCUCUCCUACCUGUGCUUGCCUUCCAGUACCUUUCAUACCUUCUAAAAUGGCCUCUCACUCAUCAGGAGAGUUUGAGGGGUCACGGUUUUUUAGAUCAAACUCUGAAGAUAAAGAAGGAUGGGAACUUAUACUUUUAGGAAUGCUGUCAUUAGAAAAAAAGAACAUUGAAGAUUGAUCAUGUUCCUUAUCAGACACCUUCUGUAUCAGCUUAAUAGAAGCGACUUCACUAACAAGCGAUGAUGGUCAACCUAUUCACAACUGUUUCUACUGGUUUUUUCCCUCAAGUAAAGAAUAUGAAUAGAAAACCUGUCAGUCCAAAAUUCUAGGUCCCUGUAAAUAUCAUAUAAAAUCAUUAUGACAUAACCAUUCAAGCUUCCCUCCAAAACUUCUCUCAUUGAUUUAUAUUAAUUUGACAGUUUCUUCUAGGAAAUUUCUUGAGAUGAGA
rnacentral:lncRNA from 1 species